UACAGAGGGUGCAAGCGUUAAUCGGAAUUACUGGGCGUAAAGCGUGCGUAGACGGUUAUGUAAGUCAGAUGUGAAAGCCCCCGGGCUUAACCUGGGAAUGGCAUUUGAGACUGCAUAGCUAGGGUGCGGAAGAGGGAAGCGGAAUUUCCGGUGUAGCGGUGAAAUGCGUAGAUAUCGGAAGGAACACCAGUGGCGAAAGCGGCUUCCUGGCCAGCACCGACGUCAGGCACGAAAGCGUGGGGAGCAAACAGG
rnacentral:rRNA from 1 species